UACGGGAGGCAGCAGGGGGAAUAUUGCACAAUGGGCGAAAGCCUGAUGCAGCUAUGCCGCGUGUAUGAAGAAGGCCUUAGGGUUGUAAAGUACUUUCAUCGGGGAGGAAAAAACAAAACUAAUAAUUUUAUUUCUUGACGUUACCCGAAAAAGAAGCACCGGCUAACUCCGUGCCAGCAGCCGCGGUAAUACGGAGGGUGCUAGCGUUAAUCAGAAUUACUGGGCGUAAAGAGCACGUAGGUGGUUUUUUUAAAGUCAGAUGUGAAAUCCCUGGGCUUAACCUAGGAACUGCAUUUUGAAACUGAAAUACUAGAGUAUCGUAGAGGGAGGUAGAAUUCUAGGUGUAGCGGUGAAAUGCGUAGAUAUCUGGAGGAAUACCUGUGGCGAAAGCGGCCUCCUAAACGAAUACUGACACUGAGGGUGCGAAAAGCGUGGGGAGCAAACAGGGAUUAGAUACC
rnacentral:rRNA from 1 species